rnacentral:tmRNA from 1 species
GGGGGUGUAAAGGUUUCGACGGGGGUGUAGAAGCCGGAUAAGCGAGCGGUAGUUUGUCCAGUCUACCUUAAAAAGGACACGUUAAAUAUAAACGCUAAAAAGAACAACAAUUUCGCAUUAGCAGCUUAGUUCUGCAC